rnacentral:rRNA from 1 species
UACGUAGGUGGCAAGCGUUGUCCGGAUUUACUGGGCGUAAAGAGCGCGCAGGCGGCCAAGUCAGUCGAAUGUGAAAGCCCCCGGCUCAACUGGGGAGGGUCAUUCGAUACUGCUCGGCUCGAAGACAGGAGAGGGAAGUUGGAAUUCCCGGUGUAGUGGUGAAAAUGCGUAGAUAUCGGGAGGAACACCAGUGGCGAAGGCGACUACCUGGCCUGUUCUUGACGCUGAGGCGCGAAAGCUAGGGGAGCAAACGGG